rnacentral:lncRNA from 1 species
UAGAAGUAUAUUUAUUAAAAGACUAAAUGAUAUUCAAAAGUUGGAAAAACAUUUUACCAUCAUUUUUAUGAACUAAGUGUUAAGAAUUAUGAAGUGUCUAAAGUUUUACCCCCUUAUAAGUUAGCUUGUCACUGUGUCAUGGAUGCUUCCAGAGAAACCAAGAAUCCUAGUCAGAGAGACCAAGAACUUUAUUACAGCAUAGCAGGCUGCAUGUGCUUCAUAUAUACAGGGUUUCUAGGUUUGUUUCCUAAUGCUGCUGUAACAAAUUAUGACAAAUUCAGUGGCUUUAAGCAACCCAAAUGUAUUCUGUUACGGAGUAUAGAAGUCUAAAAUAGUCUCAGUGGGCUAACGUCAAGGUUUUAGCAGGGCUCUGUUCCACCUGCAGACUCUGUGGAAGAAUUCAUUUUCUUACAUUUCUAAGUUCCCAGAGGUUGCUUAUACUCCUUGACUUAUGAUCCAUGUCACUGUGACCUCUUCUGUCACUGUCUCUGACAGCUGUACCUCCCCUGCUUUUAUAGAAUUAUGGUGAUGACAUUAGAUUACCUAGGAUAAUCUCCUCAUUUCAAGAUUCUUCACUUUAUCAUAUCUGCAAAAAUUUCUAGAAACCAACAGACACAUGAAGUGCCUAUUGGUCUUUCUUUUACCCCAAGGAUUCAUGUCCAUUCUACAUGCAAUAUAUAUUCACCUCAUCCCAACAUACUCCAAAGUUUCAAUCAAUUACAGCAUCAGCUCAAAGCGUAAUACAUUAACUAUAUCUUAUCAGCUAAAAAUUCCCAAGUUUCUUUAUCUUAACCAUCUAAGUCAGAUAUUGGUGAAUCUCAGGUCUGAGCCACCUUGGAAAAGGUAAUCUCCAUCUGUGGACCUCUAAAACUAGAAAAUAACUUAUUUGCUCCCUAAACACAAGGUGCAACAAGCACAAGAUACUAGCUAUAAAUAUUCCCAUUCAAAAGAGAAAACAAAAGAGACAUCAGUCCCAAGAUAUUUCAAGUUCAACUGAGGAUAUUCCAUUGGGUUGACAGGCCUGGAAUCUCCUGUGGCUUGUGGCUGCAUCUUCUGAGCCUGAAGCUCACUCUUCCUUGUUAUUGAAAGGUGGUGCAUGUUUAUAGCUGAGUAGUUUCACCAGCCUGUUUCCUUCAUGUAGAAUUUUGGGUUUCUGAUAGCCUUCCUUUGCUUUUGUGCCUUUCAGUUGGCAGUAUUGACUGGUAUAACACUUUCAAGAACAUUGCUGGUCUCCUGAAUAUAUCACAGGAACUCAUUCUCUUAGAGGGAGACUCCUCUAUGGAUCAUUCCUAAUAAGCUUAUCUCUAUUCCCAGACUUUUCUCAUUAAAAUGAAAAGAUCAUAAAUCACACUCCUAAUCUUUUCAAAGAGCUCUUUGUGUAUUUAGAUAUUCUACCUUUUUAUUCCUUUCAAAAUUCUAGCAAAGUUGUCAUAACUUUCACUUUCUCUCCUUAGCAUGAUUCCCUGAGAGUGAAUUUUUAAAUUUUAGUGUCUUUUGGGAUCUGAAUAGUCUUAGAAUUUCCCAAAUCAUCAAGUCCUGGUUCCUUUUCAUUUCACAGUUCUUCCCUCAAUUUAUCUUUUUCAUCUUUCAUCUUACUGCAAGCAGCAAGAAAAAAUAAUCAGGCCUAAUAUUUAAGACUUUGCUUGGAAAUCUCCUUAGCUAAAUAUCCCAUGUUCAUUGUUCAUGGAUUUUAUUUUAUUAUUACUAACUGCAAGGCACAAUCUCCUAAGAACUCUGUCACUAUGAAAGAAGGAUCCCCCUUUCCUCUAGUCUCCAAUCAUAUGUCUUUCAUUUCCACCUGCAGCACCUUUAAUGCACAUAUUUGUACCAAUGGUCUGCUCAUGAUUUAAGUGUAUCAUGAAACAUGUUUUUUCCCCCUACCAUGCUUACCAUUCCCCUCUGAGUCCUCACUAACAGACUCAUUAGCAUCUAUACUGCUACUGACAGUCUGCUUAAGGCAGUCUAGGCAGUUUCUAUCAUGGUACCUCAAAACACUUCCAAAUAUAGCCCUGAGAUUAACCGACUUCAUGUUUUAGCAAGGGCUGCAAGCAAAUCUACUUGAACUUUACUCCUAAAGGAGACAUUAUCUUUUUUAAUAAUAGAUAUUAAACAAGCCUGAUUUCUGCUGGAGGAAAACACAAUCUCCAUCUUCUAAGAUCAUUCUCUCUCCAAACAACAAUGAAUAGACAAUUGAGACAAAAGCUAUACGAAAUAUAGAAACUGAUAGUUCCCUGGAGAACUGUCUCCUAAACCUAAAAUGAAUAAAACGUAUAUUGUAUAAGUCAUCUGGAUUUUUUAGAAAAAGACAACUUUGAAGAAAUCUCAAAAAGAAUUAGGGUGCUUUUAAACAUUCCUGAAUUAUUUUUCAGAGAUGCAUAACCACCUCAGGUUAAAUUCAGGGAAUAUUUCCCCCACUUUUGAUAGCAGUCUAAGAUUACCAGAACACAGACUGUGUAUAUGAAGUGUUUCAUUACUACUGAAAUAAUCUUAUAGCAGGACAAUAAUCCACAAUGCCACCCAGAAAUGGUGCUUGGUAGAAAGAGAAAGCCUUUAUGUAGGCCAGGCUUUUAGGUAUCUUAAGGGAGGUGACCUCAGCCAUCCCAUGAUCAGAGGUAGAAAGUUGGUAGCCUCUGCUGAUUCUUGAGGCAGACCCGUUUGGGAUAUAAAGAGUAUACUAUUUUUCCUAAAAGUUAGGGCUUUUGAAUAAAUUUUGUGAAAACUUGUGAUUCCAGGUGAGGGCAAGCCUUGGCAAGUUCAUUUUGUAACUGUAUAGCUAGUGAGAGAACUCUAAAGAAAUAUGCCCAACUUGGGAAUUACAUAUUUCCAUUUCAAGAGAAAACAAGUUCUAGGACUGGGGAAGGCAUCUCAUGGAGUUCAGAGAUAGUGAGGAGGGAUAUGUUCACAUUUGUAGAAUCUUUUCCACUCUGGUGUCUAUGGGCAAAGAUUCUUCUUCCUCCUUUUCUGCAUCUUCCUACUGUAUGCAAUCAGAGAAUCUAUUUUUCUCAUUCCUCACAUAGGCUACAGAUUUUAUAUGCUUAGGAGACUUUGUCUUAGUUUGCCUUGUUACUUCAGGAGUUAGAACUGGCCCCUGGGAGGUGGGGUUGGGUGGUCCAUGUAAUUAUAGUUUGCUUUUUAAAUGAAUGAGAACCUAAUUUGACCCAUAUUGCCUUGAGUGUGUAUUCAUAAUAAAAUUAAUAAAGAUGGAUAUUAAAACUUUAACACAGUA